rnacentral:lncRNA from 1 species
GCGGGAGGUGGGUGCUUCUCGGCGGCGAGCUGCGACUCGGAGAGACUCCUGUCCGCAGGUGCAUGGCUUCCGGGCGGGCCUCGGGCAGCGAGCUCCAGCCCCACUGAGAGGCCGCGGACCGCCUGGGGACUUGUGUUUGUGUGUAUUUUAAGCCAACAGCCCAGAAAGGGAAGGCGACUGGCCCCCGGUCUUCGCCAGUGUUUCCCGGCCGGGUUACUGGUGGUCAGGAGGGAAGCCAGGAGGCUGCCGGGCUCCGAGGCCGAUUCCUUGCGAACCAUCUCCGUUAAAGACUCCGCGCCGGGCAGCCCGGGAGUCCGGCGGUACCCGCGCAAACUUUGUCCCAGCGCCUUGGCUCACCGUGAAUGCCCUGCCUUGAAAAUUUGGAGUUUUUUGUUUCCUGAAAGUGGUCUGCUUUUCCGAUUUUAUCUGUGUUUUCCAUUUUUACCUUCUUAUUGUCAAUUUGUUUUCAGGCAUUAUUAAUUCAACAAAUCUUUGUACUGCCCCUUACCACGUGUCGAUGGUUCCGUGGUUUGGUGGAAAUAGAUCGCGCUUUGAAGUCAAGACGGAUCGGCCAUGGAAUUUUGGCUCUGAGAUCCUCUGUGUAACCGUGGAUGAGCUACAAGGCCUGCUGAGCCUCCAUUUGUCUGGUUUUUGUGGUUGUUUUAAUUUAUCUUUUUCCAUUUGAAGUUGUGGGUUUUGCAUAAAAUUGAACUGUUACCAGGCUAAGUCAACUGAAAUUGGAAUCUGGGGUACUGCUUGCUUUGAGGUUACUCUUAUACUGUCCACCAUUUGCUGGCUGUGUGAUCUCUAAACCUCUCUGUGCCCUGACUUUUCUAUCUUUAAAAUGGACGUAACAACAGAGGUUUAAUAAUAAGAGGUUUGGAGGUUAAGUGCUAAAAUGCAUAUAAAAUACCUAGCACAGGACACAGUAAAAAGAUUGUUACCGUAUUUCAUUGAAUCUGGUUUUAAGACACUUCCUGAUUUCAAAGAAACUAAAAGCUCAUCUUGAAGUCCAGGAAGUAGGUUUUGGGUCACUCAGAACUCCCAAGGGACUGUAUUUGGUAGUAACUAGUGAUAAACAAACUGGAGUUUAAAUGAGGACUUUGUCACCAGAGAUAUUUUUAUUGCCUGUAUGGAGCUCCUGCACAAAUUUAUUCCAUUUCUCUUGUAGAAAGAGAUCCAACCUGGCCGUAAAUGGGGUGUGGUGGAGUAGAAAGAAGGGUAUUAAGUAAAGCUCUGUGUCGAUGCCUUUCUGAGCAUUUUACGGUGUUGGCAUAUGUGAUCCUGGGUAUCAGGAGCCUCAAUUUCUUGGGCUGUAAAAAUGGGGAGAACAACGCUGAUCCCAUUGUCUCCUGAUGGGUAAGUGAUGUCUAUAAAUAAAUUGUAUAGAGAUUAAGGCAUUAUCAGUGCUGUAGUCUGAUAAAAUGGUGGAGCAGAUAGGAAAGCCUACAACAGUACUGAACUGCAGGAGGGACUAAGAGUAAAUAUAGAGAUUUCAUUUGCUUGGUUUUGCAGAGGGUUAGCUAACUAAACAGAUAACUUUGUUUUCGACAGUUACUUCAUUUUUUUCAGUCAGGCAAGAGUAAGGAGAGAGUAACUAAACCAUUUUUUUUCCUCUUUAAAUAAGAGUAAGCAGAAAUAUUAUGGUUAUUUGGGGUUUUCAUGACCUUCAUUCACUUAGCGGUCAGGCUGUUCAAUUUAAAACAACCUUUUGCUUGCUGCCCUGCCAUAUGGGAAAUUUCAUUUCCAAAAAAAGGAUUAAUUUCCAGCCUGGGCGAAACCCUAUCUCUACGGAAAAUAUAAAAAUUAGCGGCCAGGAGCAGUGGCUCAUACCUGUAAUCCCAGCACUUUGGGAGGCCGAGGCAGGUGGAUCACGAGGUCAGGAGUUCAAGAUCAGCCUGGCCAAGAUGGUGAAACCCCAUCUCUACUAAAAAUACAAAAAUUAGCCUGAUGUGGUGGCACGCGCCUGUAAUCCCAGCUACUUGGGAGGCUGAGGCAGAGAACUGCUUGAACCUGGGAGCAUUCCAGCCUGGAUGACAGAGUGAGACUCCGUCUCAAAAAAAAAAAAAAAAUUAGCUGGGCGUGGUGGCAUCCGCCUUUGGUCCCAAAUACUCAGGAGGCUGAGGUGGGAGGAUUGCUUGAGCCCAGGAGGUCGAGUCUGCAGUGAGCCGUGAUUGUACCACCACAUCCUAGUCUGAGUGACAGUGUGACACUCUGUCUCAAAAAAGAAAAGAAGAUCAAGAAGGAUUAAUUUAAAUCCUUAUACCAAAUUGUCUACCAAAUGAUUUUUGUUCCACUCCAGAAAUGUUUUCCUCCAGUCCCUUCCUCUCUCUGCACCCUCCUGAGUUCUCCUUUCUUCUGUGGACAACUGUAACUAAUGCGUGUUUUUGCUAGGCUGACCCUUCUUUCAUACUAUGGCCCAAUUAUGUUUUUUCAAAUAAGCUAAUGGAUGUAAGCACUGGUGAAAUCUGAAUAAGGUCUGUAGUCUACUUGAUAGUAUUGUACCAAUGUCAGUUUCCUGGCUUUUGAUAUUUUUCCAUAGCUUUGUAAGAUGUUCCCAUUUGAGAAAGUGUACCUGGGCCCUCUUUGCAACUACCUAUGGGUAAAUGAUUAUUUCAAAGUAAAAAAUUAAAGUAUAGGGACAGAAAUUAGAUCAAUGGUUACUGGCAACUGGAGCUGGGGAAGGGUGGACUGAUCACACUUUUUGAGAUGAUGAGAAUAUUCUCUAACUUGAUUGUGGUAUUUACAUUACUGGAUGACUCUGACUCCUCAAAGGCAGCGACCACAUUGUUCUUUGUCUCUGGGAUCCAGUAGUGUUGAAUGAGUGAGUGAAUGAACAAAUUAUUUAUUUAUUUAUUUAUUUAUUUAUUUUUUGAGACAGAGCCUCUCUCUGUCGCACAGGCAGGAGUGCAGUGGUGCGAUCUCGGCUCACUGCAACCUCUGCCUCCCGGGUUCAAGUGAUUCUCCUGCCUCAGCCUCCUGAGUAGCUGGGACUACAGGAGGGUGCCAUGACGCCUGGCUAAUUUUUGUAUAUUUAGUAGAGACGGGGUUUCACCAUGUUGCCCAGGCUGGUCUCAAACUGCUGGCCUCAGGUGAUCCACCCACCUCAGCCUCCCAAAGUCCUGGGAUUACAGCCAUGAGCCACCAGGCCCGGCUGUGAAUGAUGUAGAGCUGAAAGAAAAACUAAUGGUUCUCAAAGUGCGGUCCAAGGUCCCCAAGAGGUGAGGUGAGGUGCUAGGAUUUUCAUGCUUUCAGCAAACAGCACAUCCUAACAGAUUGAAUGCAGAAGAAGAGAAUCCAGCUGUCUUCAUUUAAGCCAAACAUUAAAGAGAUCUGAAAAACAAUAUCGUACUUCCACAUUUUUUGGGAAAAAAUAAGUUAUUUUUCUUUAAAAUGUGUUCUGUUACUAGAUAGUGGGUUUAUUACUGUUUUUAAGUGACUACGUUUUUGUUUGUUUGUUUGUUUGUUUGAGACAGUCUCAUUCUGCCACCCAGGCUGGAGUACAAUGGCGCCAUCUCGGCUCACUGUAACCUCUGCCUCCUGGUUUCAAGCAAUUCUGCCUCAGCCUCCCAAGUAGCUGAGAUUACAGGCCCCCGCCACCACGCCUGGCUAAGUUUUUUGCAUUUUUAGGAGAGAUGGGGUUUUGCUGUGUUAGCCAGGCUGAUCUCAAACUCCUGACCCGCCUUUGCUUCCCAGAGUGCCAGGAUUACAGGCGUGAGCCACCACGCCCAGCCGACUAUGUAUUUUAAAAAUAUUUUCUCAGUUUUCUAAUAUGAAAAAUAUUGACAGAUAUAAUACUUUUUUUUAAAGUUCUUAGGGCUGGGCACAGUAGCUCAUGCCUGUAAUCCCAGCACUUUGGGAGGCCAAGGCGGGCAGAUCACGUGCAGGAGUUCAAGACCAGCCUGAUCAACAUGGUGUAUCCCCAUCUCUACAAAAUAUGCAAAAAAUAAUUAGCCGGGUGUGGUGGCACACACCUGUAAUCCCCGCUACUCAGGAGACAGGAGAAUUGCUUGAACCUGGAAGGCGGUUCGCUGGAAGGCAGUGAGCCGAGGUCGCACCACUGCACUCCAGUCUGGGCAACAGAGCGAGACUCUGUCUCAAAGAAAAAAAAAGGUUCUUUGGCGUCUUCGACAAUUUUUAAGAAUGUAAAAAGAUUCUGAGACCAAAAUAUUUAAGAAUCUGUGCCUUAGAGACUGUUAACAAAGCCCUCAUUGUUCAAAUGAGAAAUGGUCAUGAUGCUGACAUUUAGUGCUCUGGUACAUGUGGCUGGCCUUAUUGUAAGCACUUUACUUGAGGAUACUAUUAUGUCUUCAUGUUACUGAUAAGGCAAGUGAGGCACAGAGAGGUUAAAUUGACUUGCCCAAGGCCAUGUAGCUAGUCACUGGUGGAACCACAAUUUGAGGCCCUGAUGUUGGCUACAGUUUUCUGCCACUUCCAUGAAGUCUGGAAAGGGUCAGAAGGCCCAAAUGCCAUCUGGUUACUUCACCAGUUCUCUGUUAUCUAUCAAUCUCACAGUCACUAUGCAGGAGUCACUGAGGCCUCAAUUCUGCUUUGCAGUCUUCAUCCCAAAUUCUGCCACCCUGAAUGUUUUCAAGUAUGGCCUUACAAUUGGCCUUACAAGGCCUUGAUUUUUUUCAAAUCUGUGUGCACUUCCACUUCAACCACCCAUUCCUCUCUUGUGACCAUGCUCGAAACUCUAAUAAUCUGUCUUAUUGUAACUUCCUAUUUUUCAGUUUUCUUACUCUCUACCACUAAACCUUUUUUUUUUUUCUUUUAAUGUCCAGCGUCUUGCUGUGUCACCCAGGCUGGAGUGCAGUGGUGCGAUCAUGGUUCACUGCAACCUUGAACUCCUGGGCUCGAGCAAUCAUCUUUAUUUAUCAGUGGACACUGAGUAGCUGGGACUACAGGCGUGCACCACUGCACCCAGCUAAUUUUCUUAUUUUUUGUAGAGACAAGGGUCUCGCUUUGUUACCUAGGCCAGUCUUGAACUCCUGGCUUUAAGUGAUUCUUCCACCUCAGCCUCCCAAAGUGCUGGAAUUAAUAGGUAUGAGCCACCACGCCUGGCCUAAUCCUUGAUGUUUGCACUUGCUGUUAUGGUUUUUGUUUGUUUUUCUGAGACAGAGUCUUACUCUGUUGCCCAGGCUGGAGUGCAGUGGCCUGAUCUCAGCUCACUGCAACCUCCGCCUCCUGGGUUCAAGUGAUUCUCCUGCUUCAGCCUCCCGAGUAGCUGGGAAUACAGGCGCCUGCCACCACGCCCGGCUAAUUUUUAUGUUUUUAGUAGAGGCAGGGUUUCACCAUGUUGGCCAGGCUGGUCUUGAACUCCCCACCUCAAGUGAUCCAUCCGCCUCGGCCUCUCAAAAUGCUGGGAUUACAGGUGUAAGCCACCACGCCCAGCCGGUUUUUUCUUUUGUUUUUCCCUUUUUAACCCCAUUCUCUACCUUAUGCAACUGGUGCCCUGUGGUCAACUCAGACUUCUCAUUCAUGCCCUCAGCUCCUUAAACCCCUCAUCCUCAAACUCUACCAGCUUUGCAAGCUUCCAAGCCUGAAUUGCCUGACUCAGUUUAUCCCUGUGUGUAUCUGCUUGGGGUGUAGAAUAUAACAACUAAAAAUGAUAGAAGUGUACAGAUUGUGGCUGUUAUGAAUCUAGGGCAUUCAACUGCGGUUGGACCUCAGUGCCAUUGAGCAAUCUUUGUCUUUGGUCAGAACCCUCUUCUAUAAACAUUCACCACUUGGUUCCAACUGCUUACUCACCCACGUGCCUAAUAGAUAACCUCACCUCCUAAUUCACAGAGGGAGGAAAGUUCAAAAUGCAGGAACUUUCACUUCCCACUGUGAGCCUCCAAGGGAGUGUGUACAUCUGCAUCCUGCUGCCUCAUGCAUGGAGAUAGCCUUUCUGUUCAACCUGUCAUCUGUUAUGAUCCCACUUCAUCCCAUCAAUGGGAUCUUACUCCUUCAGCCACCCCCUUGGCACCUGUACUUUCAGCUGCUCAGCCUCUACUGGUCCGUUGCCCUCAGCCAAAAAACGCCCCUUCAACCCUGCACUCCUGGUUAUUACCCUAUUGUUUCUCUCUGUGGACAAUCUUCUUGAAAGAAUUGUCACUCCCCUUCCUCAGCUUAGAAACUGGUUUAUCUGAUUGCCUGACUUUUGGUGCUGUUGGUUACCCUCUCAUUUUCUGGGAUACCACUAUCAUCAUCUUCUCUUUCAUGUCUUUGCUGUUUUUGUAUCCCCUAUUGGAUUGAGCAAAGUCAUCAGCCUAGUCAAGUCACCCCCCAACAAGAUGAAACACAACAGUCAUCCUAGACUCCUUCCUCCCAUUUAUCUUCCAUAGCCAAUUGCCAAAUCCUGUGAUGUUUACCCAUUAAACAUCUGUCAAAUCAGUCCCUUUCUCUUUAUUCCCAUGGCCACCAAACCAUUCCAGGCUGCUAUCAUCUCUUCUCGAGAUGUGGAGUGAUCUUGGCUCCUCACUAUCAUACUCCCUUAUGUGGUCCUUUGUACUGACCUGAGCAAUAAUGAUGCUGAAGGCCCCACUGUUCGCUGCCAGCCCACAGAGAAGAAGUCUAUGCCAGAGAACGAGUGACCAGAAGAGGCUAUGCUCACAGAAGUCAGAGAAGCAGAGUCUUCAGGAAGGGAGAACAUCGGUGUCCACCAAGCAGAGAUACCUCAUGAGAUAGAUUGAAGUGUGGCCCCUGGAUUUCAGAAAUGGAUGUCAUCUGUCCAUGGAGGAGUAGGGUAAGAAGCUGCAUUGCAGUAGGCUGAAGGGUGUCCUUGGAAGCCUAGAAACUGACAGUAGCUAUAGAUGACUUCUAGAAGAUGAGCUGAAAUAAGAAUGUGAAACAAACUCAACCACUAGGAAUCAAAUCCAAAUUAAAAGGAGACACCAUUUCACCUCUUAAAUUGGCAGAAAAAUACUUUUAAUAAUACUUGAUAAUGAGGAUGUCAAGAAAGGAAUAUGACUUGUUACAAGCAUUCCAAAUGGGAUUUUAUGGUAGGUUUCAAGAGCAAUAGAUUUUUGCCCAUUCUUUGCCAUAGUAAUCCCAGCUCAACUCAGUCUAUUUAAGUAAUUACUGAUAGAUGCAAAGAUUUUAGACACAAGAAUGUUUAUCACAGUGUUCUUUUUAAUAUUUAAAAUUGAAAACCUAUAAAUUAUUGUCUAUCCAAACCAAAAGCAGCAACUAAAAAUGGGUAAUGAACUAGAAAUAUGAUGUGUUUUUAGUGAAAAAAGCAGGUUACAAAACAUUCUUUUCUAAAUUAUGUAUGUACAGCCUGAUGUCAUUAUUGUUUUUGUUUUUUUGAGACUGGGUCUUGCUCUGUCAUCCAGGCUGGAGUACAGUGGCAUGAUCAUGGCUCACUGCAGCCUCGACCUCCCAGGUUCAAGCGAUCCUCCCACCCUCACUCUCCUGAGUAGCUGAGCCUACAGGCAUGUACCACCAGGCCCAGCUAAUUUUAAGUUUUUUUUUUUUUUUUAGAGUUGAGGUCUUGCUAUGUUGCUCAUGCUGGUCUCAAAUUCCUGGCAUCAAAUGAUCCUCCCACCUCAGCCUCCCGAAGUGCUGGGAUUACAGGCGUGAGCCAUGGCACCUGUCCUCAUUUUUUAUUUUUAAUAAAACAUGUAAAGAUUGGAUGGCUAUCAGAGUCAAUAUGGUUAUGGGGGUAUAAUAUGGAUGAUGUAUUUUUUUUUAUGUUACCCAGGUUUGUUAUAUGGUAUAUAGCAUGAUGCUGAGGUUUGGGGUGUGAAUGAUUAUAUCACUCAGGCACUAAGCAUUGUACCCAGAAGGUAGGUUUUCAGCCCUUGACUCACUCCCUCUCUCUUCCAUCUAGUAGUCCCCAAUAAAUACAUAUUUAUUGAGUCUUCUGGGUCCACUGAGGACACAAUCAUGAAAAAGAAAACUAUGUCCCCAUCCUGGAGGUGUUUACAUUCUGGUGACAAAACUAAUUGAAGCAGUUCUGAUUGAUGUUUUGAGAGCUUAUGAUAAGGUAUGAAGGACUUUUUUUCCUUUUAGUUUUGAAAUUUUCUGUAAUGAACAUAUACACUGGUUUCAUAGCCCUUUUGUUUCUUUUUUCUUUCUUUUGUAUUUAAAGAAGCUUGGCAGAGGCCGGGCAUGGUGGCUCACACCUGUAAUCCCAGCACUUUGGGAGGCUGAGGCAGGUGGAUCACUUGAGGUCAGGAGUUGAAGACCAGCCUGGCCAACAUGUGAAACCCUGUCUCUACUAAAAAUAACAAAAAUUAGCUGGGCGUCAUGGCACACUCCUGUAAUCCCAGCUACUUGGGAGGCUGAGGCAGGAGGGUCACUUGAGCCCAGGAGCUGGAGGUUGCAGUGAGCCAAGACUGUGCCACCACUCAACAGAGUGAGACUCCGUCUCAAAAAAAAAAAAAAAAAAAAAAAAAAAAAAAGCUUGUCAGAGAAAUAAAUGAGAAAUUAAAAGAUGGUAAGUGGAGGCCCCAGAGUGAAGGGAAGUGUUUUUGGUUUUAGGAAUAGGAGAGUCUAGUGUGUUUAGAGGUUUAGGGGAAGGAUCCAGGAGAGGCAGCAGAGAACUGAAGGGUGUAUGUGUGUGUGGAGCAGGGAGGUGGGGGUGGUGAGGGUGGGAGAUGGAGGGGAGAAGGAGCCCAGAUAAAUUUAGCUUCCACCAGGAGCAGGAUGCCUCUUCCUCUGCUGGUGCUAUAGGAAGGUUGCCAAUGGGCCGGGUGCGGUGGCUCAUGCCUGUAAUCCUAGCACUUUGAGAGCCCAAGGUAGGUGUAUCACGAGGUCAGGAGUUCAAGACCAGCCUGGCCAGUAUGGUGAAACCCUGUCUCUACUAAGAAAAUACAAAAAUUGGCCAGUGACGGUGGCUCGCACCUGUAAUCCCAGCACUUUGGGAGGCCGAGGCGCGUAGAUCAGGAGGUCAGGAGGUCAGGAUUUCAAGACCAGCCUGGCCAAGAUGGUGAAACCCCAUCUCUACUAAAAAUACAAAAAUUAGCUGGGCAUGGUGGCUCGCGCCUGUAGUCCCAUCUACUCAGGAGGCUGAGGCAGGAGAAUCGCUUGAACCCGGGAGGUGGAGGUUGCAGUGAGCCGAGAUCGUGCCACUGCACUCCAGCCUGAGAGACAGAGUGAGACUCUGUCAAAAAAGAAAAAUUGCCAGUGGAGAUAAAGGUGUCCAUUUGGGUAGGUCAGGAAGCUGUGGUAUUCAUGCCUCAUGGCCUUCAUUUUCUUAGAGCGUAGGGUAAAAUCAUGCCAUUUUUUGCCUCUGUGCCUCAUAAGUUUGUACUCCUUCCUCCUUUAAAAAUCAGCUGUAAGAGCUGGAUGUGCUGUAAGGGCUGGACGUGGUGGCACAUGCCUGUAGUUCCUACUUGGGAAGCUGAGAUGGGAGGACCACUUGAGUCCGGGAGGUUGAGGCUGCAGUGAGCUAUGAUUGCACCACUGCUCUCCAGCCUGGGUGACAGAGCAACACCUUGUCUCUUGGGAAAAAAAAAAAAAAAAAAAAUCAGCUCCAGACCCCUGCCUUUGUGAACCUUUUCUUGAAGGAAAGAGUGUGGGUUGGGGCCACUUCCAGUGGAAUCACCAGGAGGGGAGUGGAGGGAGGAGGGAAGGUGCUCAGAAUAAACAUUCAAUGUCCCUGAGCAUUCCUAGAUCAACCGGAUCAGGAUCUCUGAAGGAUGGGGCUCAAAGAUUGGCAUUUGAAAGAACACCCGUGGGGAUCCUGAUGGUGCAAUAAAGUUGUAGAACCACCUCACUAAGUGCUCCCAAUUCCUUUUACAAUUCUCUAUUAUUGCAAUUUAAUCCUUUCACUUCCCCCACUGGGCUGCCCUUGGGCAGGAGUAGGUGUCUUUGUUUACAUACUUGUAGCACAGCCCUGCAGUUGGCUAUCAUAGUGGGCUUUGGGUGCUUAUUUGUGAAAUGAAUGAUGUGUACAAAACUGGAACCCAGAUGUCCUGAUUCCCAGACUCAUAAUUUGCUCUAUCACAUUUUAUCUCUAGAAGCUGCUGAAUUCCUCAGGAAGGCAUUUCCUGGUCCAACUGUGCCUAAAACUCAUAUGCCAAUUUAAAAAGCACAAAUCCACAUAGAAAGAUUCUCUGAAGAAGGAGACAGUGUAUGGGGGAUUGGUUGCUCUAAGGAAGAUUAGAAAAUGAGGUCACCUGAAAGUGAAGGGAGCGGGAUGCACACAAAGUAACAAGCCCCUGGAGCAGGUCUGUUCCAAGUGUGUCACCCAGGUCUCCCCCAAAAACCAUCAAGGAGUUAGAAACAUACUGUGGAAAAGAUCCCUAGAAUGUAACAGUUAAGAAGCUGGAUGCUCAGGAGGUAAUGAGUCAUAGAAUGCUUGUGUGUGGACUGCAUGGAAUCCAGAAAAGGGGAAGCCAUAGGUUAGAAAUUAUAGCGUCUCAGCUGGGCACGGUGGCUCACGCCUGUAAUCCUAGCUCUUUGGGAGGCUGAGGUGGGUGGAUCACCUGAGGUCAGGAGUUCGAGACCAGCCUAGCCAACAUGGCUUCACCGUCUCUACUGAAAAUACAAAAAUUAGCCAGCGUGGUGGCGGACGCCUAUAAUCCCAGCUAUUCAGGAGACUGAGGCAGGAGAAUCGCCUGAACCCGGUGGGGUGGAGGUUGCAGUGAGCCAAGAUCGCGCCACUUCAUUCCAGCCUGGGUGAAAAAGCAAAACUCUUGUCUCAAAAAAAAAAAAAAAAAAGAAGAAGCAAUUAGAAUUUAUAGAGUUGUUGUAAUAUCCAAAGGUAUAGAUGCUCUGAUACCACUGGGUAGUGCUGUUAAUUUAGAAAGAACUGGUCCAAAAGAAUGCGAAUUCAUCUUAGGAGAAAUGGGUGUUUCCACUAAGAACAGCUCAUCCCUUUUCUUUAAUCAUUUAGUAACUCUUUAUAGAUUACCUCCAAUGUGUCAGGGGCUGUAUUCACUGUGUCUUGCCGGAGAUAUGACAGUGGGCAAAACAGGUACAGGACGUACCCUUGAGAACUCACAGUAUUAUUCUUGUUUAUUCAUCAGGUUUCUAACCUGUAAUUUGAUAUGCUUUGUGGAUUUGCCUGGCACUCUGAGCAAAUGACCAAAACCAAUUAUUCUGCCAGGUAGGCCUCUGUUCUCACGUUAAUAACAUUCUAGUUGUGAGUCAUUUAUGACUUCGAUGAGAGAGUAUAAAACAAACAGUUCCAUUAGGGGUUGGUUUUUCCCUGGACAAAUGGGUACAGAGCUGGGCCUGCUGAUGAGCUCAGCAAGAAGUCCCCACCCUGGGAAGCCCUGCCAACUGCCAGCACCUUGUAUUCAGCAGGCUCUCAGCCACACACAGGCUAAGUCACAGCCCCUGGCCCCAUUAGGAAUGUGUGUAUCCUUUCCUGCCUGAAUGGCCCACUGAGAGGUCGUUGGGAAAAUUCUUGGAGCGUCGGAUUCCUGGAUGUCUUGAAUUCCAAAGAGCUUGAAUCAGCACAAAGCUUAGGGCCCAGGGCUGUAUUUUAAAGGAAGACGCAGCAGGGGCAGGUGAUGGUAAAUAGAGGAGAGUGAACAUGGCGGGAACAGACUUCAGGCUGCACCUGUGACUGAGGACAGCCCCCAAAUUCUUAGUUCUGAGAGAAACCCCUGAGGGCCAAAAACAGCAUGCUCAGUUCCUGGUAAUUCCUUAAAAACAGGCUUCUAUCAGACCUGGCUCUAAAAAAACAUUCACUCAGGCUGGAUCCAGGUUUGGGGCCCUGAG